rnacentral:rRNA from 1 species
AGAGUUUGAUUCUGGCUCAGGAUGAACGCUAGCUACAGGCUUAACACAUGCAAGUCGAGGGGCAGCAGAUCGAAAGCUUGCUUUGAUGCUGGCGACCGGCGCACGGGUGAGUAACGCGUAUCCAACCUUCCCUAUAGUGGAGAAUAGCCCGGCGAAAGUCGGAUUAAUGCUCUAUGUUGUAUUUAGAAGACAUCUGAAGAAUACCAAAGGUUUACCGCUAUAGGAUGGGGAUGCGUCUGAUUAGGUUGUUGGCGGGGUAACGGCCCACCAAGCCUACGAUCAGUAGGGGUUCUGAGAGGAAGGUCCCCCACAUUGGAACUGAGACACGGUCCAAACUCCUACGGGAGGCAGCAGUGAGGAAUAUUGGUCAAUGGACGAAAGUCUGAACCAGCCAAGUAGCCGUGCAGGAUGACGGCCCUAUGGGUUGUAAACUGCUUUUAUACAGGGAUAAAGUGAGGGACGUGUCCCUUUUUGUAGGUACUGUAUGAAUAAGGACCGGCUAAUUCCGUGCCAGCCGCCGC